UCUAGUUUUUGGUGUUUUUGA
rnacentral:siRNA from 1 species